AGAGUUUGAUCCUGGCUCAGGACGAACGCUGGCGGCGUGCCUAAUACAUGCAAGUCGAGCGGACAGAAGGGAGCUUGCUCCUGGAUGUUAGCGGCGGACGGGUGAGUAACACGUGGGUAACCUGCCUGUAAGACUGGGAUAACUCCGGGAAACCGGAGCUAAUACCGGAUAGUUCCUUGAACCGCAUGGUUCAAGGAUGAAAGACGGUUUCGGCUGUCACUUACAGAUGGACCCGCGGCGCAUUAGCUAGUUGGUGGGGUAAUGGCUCACCAAGGCGACGAUGCGUAGCCGACCUGAGAGGGUGAUCGGCCACACUGGGACUGAGACACGGCCCAGACUCCUACGGGAGGCAGCAGUAGGGAAUCUUCCGCAAUGGACGAAAGUCUGACGGAGCAACGCCGCGUGAGUGAUGAAGGUUUUCGGAUCGUAAAGCUCUGUUGUUAGGGAAGAACAAGUGCGAGAGUAACUGCUCGCACCUUGACGGUACCUAACCAGAAAGCCACGGCUAACUACGUGCCAGCAGCCGCGGUAAUACGUAGGUGGCAAGCGUUGUCCGGAAUUAUUGGGCGUAAAGGGCUCGCAGGCGGUUUCUUAAGUCUGAUGUGAAAGCCCCCGGCUCAACCGGGGAGGGUCAUUGGAAACUGGGAAACUUGAGUGCAGAAGAGGAGAGUGGAAUUCCACGUGUAGCGGUGAAAUGCGUAGAGAUGUGGAGGAACACCAGUGGCGAAGGCGACUCUCUGGUCUGUAACUGACGCUGAGGAGCGAAAGCGUGGGGAGCGAACAGGAUUAGAUACCCUGGUAGUCCACGCCGUAAACGAUGAGUGCUAAGUGUUAGGGGGUUUCCGCCCCUUAGUGCUGCAGCUAACGCAUUAAGCACUCCGCCUGGGGAGUACGGUCGCAAGACUGAAACUCAAAGGAAUUGACGGGGGCCCGCACAAGCGGUGGAGCAUGUGGUUUAAUUCGAAGCAACGCGAAGAACCUUACCAGGUCUUGACAUCCUCUGACAACCCUAGAGAUAGGGCUUUCCCUUCGGGGACAGAGUGACAGGUGGUGCAUGGUUGUCGUCAGCUCGUGUCGUGAGAUGUUGGGUUAAGUCCCGCAACGAGCGCAACCCUUGAUCUUAGUUGCCAGCAUUCAGUUGGGCACUCUAAGGUGACUGCCGGUGACAAACCGGAGGAAGGUGGGGAUGACGUCAAAUCAUCAUGCCCCUUAUGACCUGGGCUACACACGUGCUACAAUGGACAGAACAAAGGGCUGCAAGACCGCAAGGUUUAGCCAAUCCCAUAAAUCUGUUCUCAGUUCGGAUCGCAGUCUGCAACUCGACUGCGUGAAGCUGGAAUCGCUAGUAAUCGCGGAUCAGCAUGCCGCGGUGAAUACGUUCCCGGGCCUUGUACACACCGCCCGUCACACCACGAGAGUUUGCAACACCCGAAGUCGGUGAGGUAACCUUUAUGGAGCCAGCCGCCGAAGGUGGGGCAGAUGAUUGGGGUGAAGUCGUAACAAGGUAACCAA
rnacentral:rRNA from 1 species